AGAGUUUGAUCAUGGCUCAGGAUGAACGCUAGCUACAGGCUUAACACAUGCAAGUCGAGGGGAAACGAUAUUGGAAGCUUGCUUCCGAUAGGCGUCGACCGGCGCACGGGUGAGUAACGCGUAUCCAACCUGCCCACCACUUGGGGAUAACCUUGCGAAAGUAAGACUAAUACCCAAUGAUAUCUCUAGAAGACAUCUGAAAAGAGAUUAAAGAUUUAUCGGUGAUGGAUGGGGAUGCGUCUGAUUAGCUUGUUGGCGGGGUAACGGCCACCAAGGCGCGAUCAGUAGGGGUUCUGAGAGGAAGGUCCCCANAUUGGAACUGAGACACGGUCCAAACUCCUACGGGAGCA
rnacentral:rRNA from 1 species